GAUGAACGCUGGCGGCGUGCCUAAUACAUGCAAGUCGAGCGAACGGACGAGAAGCUUGCUUCUCUGAUGUUAGCGGCGGACGGGUGAGUAACACGUGGAUAACCUACCUAUAAGACUGGGAUAACUUCGGGAAACCGGAGCUAAUACCGGCUGAUAUUUUGAACCGCAUGGUUCAAAAGUGAAAGACGCUCUUGCUGUCACUUAUAGAUGGAUCCGCGCUGCAUUAGCUAGUUGGUAAGGUAACGGCUUACCAAGGCAACGAUGCAUAGCCGACCUGAGAGGGUGAUCGGCCACACUGGAACUGAGACACGGUCCAGACUCCUACGGGAGGCAGCAGUAGGGAAUCUUCCGCAAUGGGCGAAAGCCUGACGGAGCAACGCCGCGUGAGUGAUGAAGGUCUUCGGAUCGUAAAACUCUGUUAUUAGGGAAGAACAUAUGUGUAAGUAACUGUGCACAUCUUGACGGUACCUAAUCAGAAAGCCACGGCUAACUACGUG
rnacentral:rRNA from 1 species